AGCAGUAGCCACGGUAAUACGUAGGUGGCAAGCGUUAUCCGGAAUUAUUGGGCGUAAAGCGCGCGUAGGCGGUUUUUUAAGUCUGAUGUGAAAGCCCACGGCUCAACCGUGGAGGGUCAUUGGAAACUGGAAAACUUGAGUGCAGAAGAGGAAAGUGGAAUUCCAUGUGUAGCGGUGAAAUGCGCAGAGAUAUGGAGGAACACCAGUGGCGAAGGCGACUUUCUGGUCUGUAACUGACGCUGAUGUGCGAAAGCGUGGGGAGCGAACAGGAUUAGAUACCCCUGUAGUCCCUGUCUCUUAUAC
rnacentral:rRNA from 1 species